CCUACGGGAGGCAGCAGUGAGGAAUAUUGGUCCAUGGGAGAGAUCCUGAACCAGCCAAGCCGCGUGAGGGAAGACGGCCCUAUGGGUUGUAAACCUCUUUUGUCGGAGAACAAAACCCGGGACGUGUCCCAGACUGCGUGUAUCCGCAGAAAAAGCAUCGGCUAACUCCGUGCCAGCAGCCGCGGUAAUACGGAGGAUGCGAGCGUUAUCGGGAUUUAUGGGGGUUAUAGGGUGCGUAGGCGGUCCGUUACGUCAGCGGUAAACUUGCGGGGAUAAACCCCGUCGAGUCGUUGAAACUGGCAGACUUGAGUGGGCGAGAAGUACGCGGAAUGCGCGGUGUAGCAGUGAAAUGCAUAGAUAUCGCGCAGAACUCCGAUUGCGAAGGCAGCGUACCGGCGCCAGACUGACGCUGAGGCACGAAAGCGUGGGGAUCGAACAGGAUUAGAUACCCCAGUAGUC
rnacentral:rRNA from 1 species